CUUUAAGUUGGCUUUGAUUGAUUUCACCUUCUCCUCAGCCUGUUUCACCAGGUCUGGCCCUACUAGUUUGUUUUCGCCCAAUUCAGUCUAACACACUAGAGUUCUAUAUUUCCUCCCAUGGAGAUGACAUGUGAAGGAUCUGAGCGAUAUCUUCUUAGCAUAGAUACGUGAAACACAUUGUGAAUCUUGUCUAGCUCUGGUGGUAAAGCUAGCCUGUAGGCCACUGGACCCACACAUUCAAUGACUUCAUAUGGGCCAAUAAACCUA
rnacentral:misc_RNA from 1 species